UUUAUUUGAAUCUUUGGUUCUUUUUUCUGUUUCAUCACUUAAUCUUUCCUCUUUGUAGCCAUAUUCAAGUCUCCUCAUAUGAAAUGUGACCACAACAAAACUAUCCAUUGACAAUGAUACUCAACCGUUCCUUACCAAGUUCAUAUGCAAUAUGAGACAGUAUUUUCCAGAUAUCUAAAGGGGCGAUGAACAUGAGGUGAGCCACAGCUUCUGCAGAAGACAUGUUCCAGCCAUGGAAAUUCCUGUGGGAGUGGAGUUUAGGGGGAGCCCAGUCUCACUGUGCCAUGGAAACAGGGCUCAUAGUCUGAGUAUUGCUGCUGCAGCUGGAUUUGCAAGAAAUAGCCUAGCAGUGCUCGAUGAGAUAAAUCCAGCCUUUGUUCCACCUGAUUCUUUUGGGCUGGCACCGGCACCACUACUGCCUGCUCUGAUUAUAGUUAAUCCAUUGCCUGCAACGGGACACAGUUUGGCCCAAGUCAGAUGACAAAGUCUUUUCAAACAGGAAAAGCCGUUGUCAGCUGUCGUUGUGGUACCAACAUGGAUCACGUCAGGACAGCCACACAAAGACAGGAUGAAUCGGAUGCUCAGCCACAUUCACUGCAGUAGGUUUUCUGUCAGGCUCGUUCGCGGGGAUGGAGGAAAGAACUCAGAGCAUAAUCCCCACAUUCUGCCUGCUUCCUCUGUAUGCAUGUAUCACCCGGUAUCAAGUGGUGUCAGGACUCGCUGAGUUACAAUCCCAGCUUCUCUGUAAGUGACAUGUUUCUAUUUUCCUUCAAAAAUCUCACUUUUGGAAGGUUUCCUUAA
rnacentral:lncRNA from 1 species